AUCAUAUUGCAGACUUAGUUAUAGAGUACAAUGCAUAUGAGAUCUUAUUCCAAACUUAUGUUGUAGAGUACUGUGCAUAUGAGAUCUUAUUCCAAACUUAUGUUAUAGUGUUAUAUAUGUAUGAGAUCUUAUUCCAAACUUAGGUUAUAAAGAUAGAGUUCUAUGCAUAUGAGAUCUAAUUCCUAACUUACGUUAUAGAGUGCUAUGCAUGUACAUGUAUGAGAUCUUAUUCCAAACUUAAGUUAUAUAGUGUAAUGUAUGUAUGAGAUUUUUUUCCAAACCUAGGUUAUAGAGUGCUAUUCAACUGAGAAAUUUGUCACAGGUUGAGAAAAAUGUGCAGCCAGACCGGGACUUGAACCCAGGGCCUCGGAAUACUGUUCCGAUGCUCUACCGACCGAGCUACCCGGCCGCCUACACACUUUCUCCCCGUUUUAAUAUAUUUCAAGUUCUAUACCGUGACAUAUUUCCCCACCAUUUUGAAAUUCAUCCUCGAAUUUCAGCGGGUACUUUAUAUAUAAGCAAUUACAGGUGUCGGAGACUAACCAGUGUAAUGCCGUCAUGGCCCCACGUUGGGCGCCAAAUGUCACAGGGUGAGAAAAAUGUGCAGCCAAACUGGGACUCGAACCCGGGGCCUCAGAAUACCGUUCCGAUGCUCUACCGACUGAGCUACCAGGCCACCUACACACUUUCUCCCUGUUUUGAUAUAUUUCAAGUUCUAUACCGUGACAUAUUCAACAAAUAAAGUAUUUUAGGAAAUUCUAAAAGACAGUGUAUAAUAUCUUAUGGGUUCACAGAAAGAGUAUAUAUCUUAAUUUAUUGUUUCAUAGGAAGGAAAAAAAGCAAGUCAGUUAUAAAUGACUUUGGACUGUGAUACAUUUUCCUAGUGUUACAAUCAUAUACAAAGCACAUUUAUAUAAUUGCUAUUAUUAUUUUACAAAUAUUUCAUUUUUUUUACUGGCGUAAGGUUUUUUUUUGUAUUUUGAUUUGUUUAUGUCGAGAAUUACAUGUAAGUUGUAGUUGUUAGUUGUAUGUGUUACAUAGCUGUAUUGUUUCCUUUUUAUUAAUAAUUCAUAUAAAAUACAGGUUUUGUCAGCAAGUAUGCAAUAAUUGAAUAGCGAACAGUGCAGACCAUGAUCAGCCUGCACGAUCUUGGUCUUCACUGUCUGCAAAAGCAGAAUCAACUGCCAACAUCAGGUUAAAGGUUAAAUAAGCCAAUAGGCUUUUAUUAGACAUUUAAGUCUGAACCUUAAGAUUUAACAAUAGCCUGUACUGAAAUUGCCAUAACUUUUUAUACACAAUUUAUACUGGUGCAAUUUAGCUGAUGUGUCUUUGGCUACAUCAUAUAUACAAAGUUUCAUUGUAAUCUGUGCUUAUAAAUCUUUACCCUACUAAAUUUCUAAAAUGGACUGGUCCAUCAUUCUACUUUGGCGGUAUCACUUCUUUUUCAAAUGGGUAUUCACUGAAAAUUAGUGACUGAAUAGUGAAUAUGUGUAGGCUGAUCUUGGUCUGCACUGGUCACAGAAGCAGAAUCACUUGCUGACAGCAGACUAAAGGUUAAAGAAUUACAGAGCAAACAGAAAAUUUAACAUUUUAAAGUCUAAAUUUCAGACUCCAAAUGAGACGCACCAUGAGAAAACCAGCAUAGUGCAUUUGCGACCAGCAUGGAUCCAGAUCCGUGCAGUCUGGUCAGGAUCCAUGCUGUCUGCUUUCAAAGCCUUUUGCAGUUAGAGAAACUGUUAGAGAACAGCAUGGAUCCUGACCAGACCAUGCUGGUCGCAAAUGCACUAUGUUGGUUUUCUCAUGUUGUGGCUCAUAUGAUGAUGAAUGUAGGCCCUGGGGUCCAAAGGAUAUUGGUUUGGAAGAGAGUCAGAUGUAGGUUUUCUUAUAUUGGGCCAACUUUACCUUAACAUAAGAAUAUUGGAUAAAUACUUGUCAAACAAAAAGAAAAAAUAUUAUACCAAUUAAGGUUAAAAGAAAUGGUAGUGUUUGUUAAAGUUAUAAGUUGUAAUAUAAACUUAUUUUUUGCUUCAGAAGUGUCACAUUGCUUACUGUUUAGUACUCUGGUAAUCUUAUUUUUUAUAGGUAUGAAUUAAUUCUGCUUUCAUGUGAUAUAUAUACAAUUUUGAACUAUAAUAUGAGCCGUGCCAUGGGAAAACCAACAUAGUGGGUAUGCGACCAGCAUGGAUCCAGACCAGCCUGCGCAUCCGCGCAGUCUGGUCAGGAUCCAUGCUGUUCGCUAACAGUUUCUCUAAUUCCAGUAGGCUUUGAAAGCGAACAGCAUGGAUCCUGACCAGACUGCGCGGAUGCGCAGGCUGGUCUGGAUCCUUGCUGGUCGCAUACCCACUAUGUUGGUUUUCUCAUGGCACGGCUCAUAUGUACAUCUGUAUGAGUGUCAGUAUAAAGUGCGUGUGUAAAGGAAUCAGUUAACAUCUUCUACAAUAUGUGUAUAUGCGGCAGCAUUACUCAAUAAAAUUGUCUACAAAAAG